GCUUAACACAUGCAAGUCGAACGAUGAACCGCUUUCGGGCGGGGAUUAGUGGCGAACGGGUGAGUAACACGUGGGCAAUCUGCCCUGCACUCUGGGACAAGCCCUGGAAACGGGGUCUAAUACCGGAUAUGACUGUCCAUCGCAUGGUGGAUGGUGUAAAGCUCCGGCGGUGCAGGAUGAGCCCGCGGCCUAUCAGCUUGUUGGUGAGGUAGUGGCUCACCAAGGCGACGACGGGUAGCCGGCCUGAGAGGGCGACCGGCCACACUGGGACUGAGACACGGCCCAGACUCCUACGGGAGGCAGCAGUGGGGAAUAUUGCACAAUGGGCGAAAGCCUGAUGCAGCGACGCCGCGUGAGGGAUGACGGCCUUCGGGUUGUAAACCUCUUUCAGCAGGGAAGAAGCGAAAGUGACGGUACCUGCAGAAGAAGCGCCGGCUAACUACGUGCCAGCAGCCGCGGUAAUACGUAGGGCGCAAGCGUUGUCCGGAAUUAUUGGGCGUAAAGAGCUCGUAGGCGGCUUGUCACGUCGGUUGUGAAAGCCCGGGGCUUAACCCCGGGUCUGCAGUCGAUACGGGCAGGCUAGAGUUCGGUAGGGGAGAUCGGAAUUCCUGGUGUAGCGGUGAAAUGCGCAGAUAUCAGGAGGAACACCGGUGGCGAAGGCGGAUCUCUGGGCCGAUACUGACGCUGAGGAGCGAAAGCGUGGGGAGCGAACAGGAUUAGAUACCCUGGUAGUCCACGCCGUAAACGGUGGGCACUAGGUGUGGGCAACAUUCC
rnacentral:rRNA from 1 species